rnacentral:lncRNA from 1 species
ACAUCUAAAUUUGAACUGCUCACUCCCGCACCCUGAGUGCACCUAUCAGCAAAAGACGAAAUGCUGCCAUUUCCCACCUGAGCAAAUCCCAGCAAGGAUGCACCCGGUGGUAUUUAACGACCCUUCGAUGGCGUGGAACUGGGCCGUCUUUUGACAUAUUACUGUCCCCAUCGAGGUGAAUGGUCUCCAGUUAAUGAACGCAUCACUAGAUUUAGAACACACACAGAGUUGCUUACCAAUUCAUCAGUGAUUAACAACAAUCUUUAAGGUUAAAAAGAAAGCAUCAGGAUUAUCAGUAGAAUAAACACAAAAGUAAAUUCGAAAAUUUUAUCACAUCAAGUCAAUUCCAUUUUCUACAUGCCCAAAACAGUCUGAACACCUGUUUUUUACACUUUGUCACACCAGUUGUCAACGUGCUCUCCAAGUGUGGUGAGAGCUUCACAAAUUAAAGCUUGAAUUCAUUUUUGUAUCCUCUGGAACUAAUACCAUGCUUGGCACAUAACCCUGUGAAGGUUUGUCUAGGAAUGGCCAGAGGAACAGUUUGCAGCCAUUAGUGCUGUAGCUACAAAAAGUAUAAAACCAACUCCUGCCUUCCAGGUACUUAUAUUAACUAGUAUGUAAUUUUAUGUGAUUUACUGUAGUAAUUAGUAAGCUGAACUUGGCUGAGACAAAACCCAAAGACUUUAACUACUUUCGUUUCACCAAAAGCAGAACCCUGAGGGGAAGAAAAAAAAAAAAAGAAUAUUCUAGCAAUAAUCCACCAAAAGGAAAUUCCCAAAGAAAUGGCAAAGAAACCCUCCUUUCAUCUUAAAUGUCUUUUUUCUUAUCCUUCCAAACAAUACCUAAAAAAUGAACUUAUGUUCAUUUUCAAUUUUAAGAGUGAUACUGUGUUUAUUUUGAACUGCUCACACUGGCAACAUUAAUGGCAUUUUGCUACACAGUGACAGGAAAACAGCAGUCACUACUCUUUGAAUAAAUAUAAACAGUUGGAAGAUGAUCCUAUUUCCUGAUGAGUGGCAACUUCCAGGUUGUUAGUUAAAUGCUAACAAAGGUUGUGAUAAGAAAGUAAAUGAAGAAAAGAUAGUUGACAUGAUGCUACCAUUACUUUUAAGUUUCCUUUCCUUACACAAGUCACCAGUAAAUCUCAGUCCUCAUCUGGAGAUAAAACCUACUUCACAGGGCUGUUAUGAUGAUUAAGUGAACACACACACAUCCAUCAGUGAAGUGUUUGGUCCCUACAUCAUUGCAAAGGCCCAUUAACUUGCCAAAUUUCGUAUACUAUGCGAUCCGGAACGAGUGUUUCACACAUUACUCUCCCCAAGCCAGCCAAAUGGUCAUGCGCUGGAGCCCUGCUGGAGCUGUAUUCCUGACACUACAUACUGUGCAGACAUAUAGAGAGUGUACGCACAUAUACAGCACAUGCACAGAGUGUCCACACAUACAAAGAUAGUUACAUGUGCACACAUAAUAUAGCCAUAUAUAUCCUUACGGUGGAUACACAUAUAGUUUAGUGUUCAUAUAUACAUAUUAUGCAGACAUAUACAGAGUGUAUGCACAUAUACAGCACAUGCAUAGUGUGUCCACACAUACAGAGAAACAGCCAUAUAUAUCCUUACAGUGGAUACACACGUAGUUUACACACAGUGUUCAUACAUAUAUAAUGCAGCAUGGAUACACAGCAUCUAUGGCAUGUAUACAUGCAUACACACAAUGAACAUAUGCACUAACAUUAACCAUAAUGUAUACACUAUGUACAUACAGAGUAUAUGCACAUCAUACAUGCAUAGAAUGUAUGUAUAUAUACAUAUAGUGCAUGUAUGAAAUAUAUGUAAUGCACACAUAUACACAUAUAGUGUAUUUUUAUAGCAUAUAUACAGUGUAAAUGCACACAAUGUACACAUACACAUGUGUGCAUGUAGUAUAUGUUAUACAUACAAUGUACAUGCAUAAACACAUAUAUAAUAUACAGGCCACAUAUGUGCAGAGUGGUUAUGGUAUCUGUGCAUACAUACAAAUGUGCACACAUAUGCACAAUAUUAAUUCUCCUGAUCCAUGAACACACUUUAUCUUCCCAUUUAUUUUGCCUUCCUGAGUUUCAAAGUCUUACAUUUACCACUGCCAGUUCCUUCCCUUCCUUGGCUAAAUUUACAUGUGCAGGUAUAAUACACAUGUACAUGGUACAGACACACGUGUACAAUGUAUGCAUGGUACCUAUGGACAUACAACACCCACAUAGUAUACAAACACACAUGUGCCACACACACAUGGUACAUAUGCAUACCUACAAGGCACAUACACCUAGGGUAUGAGAGUCUCUAGUUCCAUCCAUGUUGCUGCAAAUGGCAUUAUUUUGUUCUUUUUUAUGGCUGAGUAGUAUUCCAUUGUGUAUAUAUACUACAUCUUCCUAAUCCAGGAGCUUGGGAUAAUAGAUGCAGACUAUUGCCUCUGGAAUGGAUUAGCAAUGAGAUCCUGCUGUGUGGCACUGGGAACUAUGUCUAGUCACUUAUAAUGGAGCAUGAUAAUGGGAGAAAAUAGAAUGUAUACAUGUAUGUGUAACUGGGUCACCAGGCUGCACAGCAGAAAAAAAAAGGUAUUGAGGAAAUUAAAAAAAUAAAAAA